UGAGACACGGCCCAGACUCCUACGGGAGGCAGCAGUGGGGAAUAUUGGACAAUGGGCGAAAGCCUGAUCCAGCAAUGCCGCGUGUGUGAAGAAGGUCUUCGGAUUGUAAAGCACUUUCGGCGGGGACGAUGAUGACGGUACCCGCAGAAGAAGCCCCGGCUAACUUCGUGCCAGCAGCCGCGGUAAUACGAAGGGGGCUAGCGUUGCUCGGAAUGACUGGGCGUAAAGGGCGCGUAGGCGGUUGACACAGUCAGGCGUGAAAUUCCUGGGCUUAACCUGGGGGCUGCGCUUGAUACAUGUUGACUUGAGUGUGGAAGAGGGUCGUGGAAUUCCCAGUGUAGAGGUGAAAUUCGUAGAUAUUGGGAAGAACACCGGUGGCGAAGGCGGCGACCUGGUCCAUUACUGACGCUGAGGCGCGAAAGCGUGGGGAGCAAACAGGAUUAGAUACCCUGGUAGUCCACGCCGUAAACGAUGUGUGCUGGAUGUUGGGUGGCUUAGCCAUUCAGUGUCGUAGCUAACGCGGUAAGCACACCGCCUGGGGAGUACGGCCGCAAGGUUGAA
rnacentral:rRNA from 1 species